AGGGUCGGUCGGAUAGCCAUGCAUGUCUAAGCACAUGCCGAUUAAUGGUAAAGCCGCGAAUGGCUCAUUACAACAGCUAUAGUUUACAGGAUGAUGCUGUUGAAAGGAUAACUGUGGUAAUUCUAGAGCUAAUACAUGCACUUAUAUCCAGACCUCACGGAAUGGAUGCAGUUAUUAGAAUAAAACCAAGCAGGCUUGCCUGCCAUUUGGUGAAUCUGAAUAACCCAGUGAUCGCAUGGUCUUUGCACCGGCGACAUAUCCUUCAAAUGUCUGCCUUAUCAACCGUCGAUGGUAGUUUAUGCGCCUACCAUGGUUGUUACGGGUAACGGAGAAUUAGGGUUCGACUCCGGAGAGGGAGCCUGAGAAAUGGCUACCACAUCUAAGGAAGGCAGCAGGCACGCAAAUUACCCACUCUUGGUACGAGGAGGUAGUGACGAAGAAUAACAGGACGGCCUCUUAUUGAGGCCCGUCACUGGAAUGAGUACAGUUUAAAUCCUUUAACGAGGAUCU
rnacentral:rRNA from 1 species